ensembl:lncRNA
AUUCUGUGCUAUUAUUCAUUUGGAUCCAGUUUUGUAAUGCAACCAUUUCAUUUUUCUGUCUUUCCUUACUUACUGUCUGUGUAACUGUCUGAUGAGAAGCGGUGAGUGUGUGUGUGUGUGUGUGUGUGUGUGUGUGUGUGUGUGUGUGUGUGUGUGUGUGUGUGUGUGUGUGUGUGUAUUUGACCUACUAAAGUCUCAGUGUUGGUUUUCCAGUCAGAUGGUUGGAGGUGUUGGAUGGAGGCCAUCGGUGCGUCUGUAACACACUCAUGUGCUGCUGCUAUGAAGGAAAAUCUGAUGAUCUGAGAUCAGCGUCCGGAUUCAGUGAGUCAUUCUGCCGGCGGGAAUCCAUGGAAAUGAAGGAAAAGUUCAAUGACAACAAAGAGGGAAAAUCCAGCCGCACAAAAACAUUACAACACUUCAUACUGAAUGACAGAGAGAGAGGAAAUGUUUAGAGGUAUUUGUGAUGUUUGCAUGUGAGAAGAGAGUGAUUUGAUGCUGGAGGUUUCAUCACAUCACUAGCAGAACUAGUACUAGUGAUGACUAACUUGACAAAGACUACUUGUAAAGUUCACUGGUGCUGCAAAACAUGAAGCUGGAAACCAAAGUCUCAUUUCAGAGCUGUGUGUGUGUGUGUGUGUGUGUGUGUGUGUGUAGUUUCACUAGUGAACACUAGAGGCAUCAGUGUCACGUGUUGAACUGCAGUUAAUGACUGCCAUAUGAGCCUGUAAAACUUUCUAUCACACACACACACACACACACACACACACACACACACUCGGGUCACUCCAGGAGAGAAAGCUUGACCCACAUUCUGGUUCUGUUCUGCUCAAACUGCUGUUUAUUUGCUCUGAACAUUUUAAUAAUGAGUUUCUCUCUCUGAACCACACAAAUCAAAACCCCAUAAAACUCGUGAGUGAGUGAGUGUGUGUUUGUUUGUGUGUGUGUGUGUGUGUGUGUGUGUGUGUGUGUGUUUGAGAUACACAUGGCCUUCAGAUGAGUUUGUUAAACUUUUGCAUGAUUAUUAUUCUGAUAUAAGUGUCCCAGUGAUAAAAAACAAAACAAAACAAAAUUUCUUUAUAUACUUAUUUUAUAAAUAAUACAUAACACAGAAAUACAGUAAAAAUAGUGAAAUAUUAUUAUAAUGUAAAACAGCUGUUUUCUGUGUGAAUAUCUGUUAAAGUGUAAUGUAUUUCUGUGAUGUGCAGCUGUAUUUUCAGCAUCAUUACUCCAGUCUUCAGUGUCACAUGAUCUUCAGAAAUCAUUCUAAUAUGAUGAUUUGCUGCUCAAGAAACAUUUCUGAUUAUUAUCAAUGUUGAACACAGUUGUGCUGCACAAUAUUUUUGUGGAAACCGUGAUACAUUUUAUUUUUCAGGAUUCACAGAUUAAUAGAAAGUGCAAAAGAACAGCAUUUAUUAGAAAUAGAAAUCUUUUGUAACAUUAUAAAUGUAUUAA